rnacentral:rRNA from 1 species
GACGAACGCUGGCGGCGUGCUUAACACAUGCAAGUCGAACGGAAAGGCCCUGCUUUUGUGGGGUGCUCGAGUGGCGAACGGGUGAGUAACACGUGAGUAACCUGCCCUUGACUUUGGGAUAACUUCAGGAAACUGGGGCUAAUACCGGAUAGGAGCUCCUGCUGCAUGGUGGGGGUUGGAAAGUUUCGGCGGUUGGGGAUGGACUCGCGGCUUAUCAGCUUGUUGGUGGGGUAGUGGCUUACCCAGGCUUUGACGGGUAGCCGGCCUGAGAGGGUGAACGGCCACAUUGGGACUGAGAUACGGCCCAGACUCCUACGGGAGGCAGCAGUGGGGAAUAUUGCACAAUGGGCGGAAGCCUGAUGCAGCAACGCCGCGUGCGGGAUGACGGCCUUCGGGUUGUAAACCGCUUUCGCCUAUGACGAAGCGUGAGUGACGGUAAUGGGUAAAGAAGCACCGGCUAACUACGUG